GAUGAACGCUGACGGCGUGCCUAAUACAUGCAAGUCGAGCGAACGGACGAGAAGCUUGCUUCUCUGAUGUUAGCGGCGGACGGGUGAGUAACACGUGGAUAACCUACCUAUAAGACUGGGAUAACUUCGGGAAACCGGAGCUAAUACCGGAUAAUAUUUUGAACCGCAUGGUUCAAAAGUGAAAGACGGUCUUGCUGUCACUUAUAGAUGGAUCCGCGCUGCAUUAGCUAGUUGGUAAGGUAACGGCUUACCAAGGCAACGAUGCAUAGCCGACCUGAGAGGGUGAUCGGCCACACUGGAACUGAGCCACGGUCCAGACCCCUACGGGAGGCAGCAGUAGGGAAUCUUCCGCAAUGGGCGAAAGCCUGACGGAGCAACGCCGCGUGAGUGAUGAAGGUCUUCGGAUCGUAAAACCCUGUAUUAGGGAAGAACAUAUGUGUAAGUAACUGUGCACAUCUUGACGGUACCUAAUCAGAAAGCCACGGCUAACUACGUG
rnacentral:rRNA from 1 species